UGAUAUCCUUUGGGGAUUACGUUUCGGCCGUAGUUUUGGGAAUUAUUUUCCCUAUCAG
rnacentral:tRNA from 1 species